GAUGAACGCUGGCGGCGUGCUUAACACAUGCAAGUCGAACGAACCUUCGGGUUAGUGGCGGACGGGUGAGUAACGCGUGAGAAUCUGCCCUCAGGAGGGGGAUAACGGUUGGAAACGACCGCUAAUACCCCAUAUGCCUACUGGUGAAAUGAAUUUCGCCUGAGGAUGAGCUCGCGUCUGAUUAGCUAGUUGGUGAGGUAAUGGCUCACCAAGGCUUCGAUCAGUAGCUGGUCUGAGAGGAUGAUCAGCCACACUGGGACUGAGACACGGCCCAGACUCCUACGGGAGGCAGCAGUGGGGAAUUUUCCGCAAUGGGCGAAAGCCUGACGGGGCAACGCCGCGUGAGGGACGGAGGCCUCUGGGCUGUAAACCUCUUUUCUCAAGGAAGAAGAUAUGACGGUACUUGAGGAAUAAGCCACGGCUAAUUCCGUGCCAGCAGCCGCGGUAAUACGGGAGUGGCAAGCGUUAUCCGGAAUUAUUGGGCGUAAAGCGUCCGCAGGCGGCUUUUCAAGUCUGCUGUUAAAGCGUGGAGCUUAACUCCAUCAUGGCAGUGGAAACUGAAAGGCUUGAGUAUGGUAGGGGCAGAGGGAAUUCCCGGUGUAGCGGUGAAAUGCGUAGAUAUCGGGAAGAACACCAGUGGCGAAGGCGCUCUGCUGGGCCAUUACUGACGCUCAUGGACGAAAGCCAGGGGAGCGAAAGGGAUUAGAUACCCCUGUAGUCCUGGCCGUAAACGAUGAACACUAGGUGUCGGGGGAAUCGACCCCUUCGGUGUCGUAGCUAACGCGUUAAGUGUUCCGCCUGGGGAGUACGCACGCAAGUGUGAAACUCAAAGGAAUUGACGGGGGCCCGCACAAGCGGUGGAGUAUGUGGUUUAAUUCGAUGCAACGCGAAGAACCUUACCAGGGUUUGACAUCCUGCGAACCUCUUAGAAAUUUGAGGGUGCCUUCGGGAAUGCAGUGACAGGUGGUGCAUGGCUGUCGUCAGCUCGUGUCGUGAGAUGUUGGGUUAAGUCCCGCAACGAGCGCAACCCACGUUUUUAGUUGCCAGCAUUUAGUUGGGCACUCUAGAAAGACCGCCGGUGAUAAACCGGAGGAAGGUGUGGAUGACGUCAAGUCAUCAUGCCCCUUACACCCUGGGCUACACACGUACUACAAUGCUACGGACAAAGGGCAGCAAACUCGCGAGAGCUAGCAAAUCCCAUAAACCGUGGCUCAGUUCAGAUCGUAGGCUGCAACUCGCCUACGUGAAGUAGGAAUCGCUAGUAAUCGCAGGUCAGCAUACUGCGGUGACUACGUUCCCGGGCCUUGUACACACCGCCCGUCACACCAUGGAAGUUGGCCAUGCCCGAAGUCGUUACUCCAACCCUUGUGGAGGAGGACGCCGAAGGUGGGGCUAGUGACUGGGGUG
rnacentral:rRNA from 1 species